AUUGAACGCUGGCGGCAUGCCUAACACAUGCAAGUCGAACGGCAGCACGACCUAGCUUGCUAGGUUGGUGGCGAGUGGCGCACAGGUGAGUAAUGCGUAGGAAUAUACCUUAAAGUGGGGGACAACCUGGGGAAACUCAGGCUAAUACCGCAUGAGCUCUAAGGAGGAAAGCUGGGGACCUUUCGGGGCCUGGCGCUUUAAGAAUAGCUUACGUCCGAUUAGUUAGUUGGUGGGGUAAAGGCUUACCAAGACGAUGAUCGGUAGCUGGUCUGAGAGGAUGAUCAGCCACACUGGGACUGAGACACGGCCCAGACUCCUACGGGAGGCAGCAGUGGGGAAUAUUGGACAAUGGGGGAAACCCUGAUCCAGCGAUGCCGCGUGUGUGAAGAAGGCCUGCGGGUUGUAAAGCACUUUCGGUGGGGAGGAGGACUUAUAGGUUAAGAGCUAAUGAGUUGGACGUCACCCACAUAAGAAGCACCGGCUAACUCCGUGCCAGCAGCCGCAGUAA
rnacentral:rRNA from 1 species